AUGCAGAGGCCAAGGCCGAGAUUCCACCAUGUGGAAGAGACAGAGAACAAUGUAGUGCGCAGCCUGUUCUGGACAGACUCCUUGUGUAAGAUGAAUUAUGAGCUAUAUGGAGAUUUCGUGUCUUUUGACACGACAUUCUCUAUGAAUAUAUAUGGCUUGCCAUUUGCACCAAUUAUAGGUGUCGACAACCACGGGUCGACCGUCCUGUUUGGAGUAGGCCUUUUGAAGGAUGAGAAAAUAGGGUCAUUCAAGUGGCUCCUAAGCACGUUUGUCGAGGCAAUGGGAGGUAAAGAGCCGAAAUACAUAAUAACAGACCAGGACCAGGCGAUGAAGACUGCAAUAAAGGAAGCUCUUCCGAGAACGAGGCACAGGUUCUGCUGGUGGCAUAUUAGGAAGAACCUGAGGGAAAAUAACACAGCAGUGUUUGCGCAGCACCCAGGGAUGUCUGAUGAUUUAUUUCGAAUCGUCAAAAACUCACUAGAUCAAGACGAGUUUGAGCGUGCCUGGAAAGCAGCAAUUUCUGUGCACAAGGCGGAAGGCAACAAACACCUGAACACGCUGUGGGAACUCCGAAAUUUCUGGGUACCGGCCUACUUCAAGGACUGCUUCUAUCCUUUCUCGUCAACAACCACUCGCAGUGAGAGCACGAAUUCGAUGUGGAAGAAUUACGUCGACCACAGGGACACUAUAAAAAGGUUUGUUGAUGUGUAUCACAUGAUUCAGCAAAAUUGCCUCGCCACGCUUGACAAGAAAAGACACCGAACAGAAGAGAAGGCGCCAUCACUAGAGACGGGUUUUCCGAUUGAAGACAAGCAAGUCAAGUAUACACGAAUGAAAUUUUCAAGAAAUUCCAGCUGGAGCUACGGAACCGGACUUACUUCAAGUGCUCUGACCUGGCAAAGGGGAGGCAAUAUUUUUUAA
rnacentral:rRNA from 1 species